UCUGGUUCUUGUGAUGGGAUUUUUGUGAAAGAGAAUAAAGACUUGAGUUUUAGAGGAUGGGAUUUUGAUCGAGUUUGUUUGGAUGCAUCUACGAGUUUUGAGGAUUUGAAGAAAAGGAAAGACUUUUGUUUUUGUUUAAACUGAUUUUGAGGAGAUGGGUUGCUUUCCUUGUUUUGAUUCGAGGGAAGAAGAGACUCUAAAUCCACGGAAGGAAUCCGAUGAUCGAAAGCAAAGCUUGCCCACCGAGUCUUCUAACAUUUCCAAAUUAUCCUCUGGUGCUGACAGGCUUGGAUCAAGAAGCAAUGGAAGGUCAAAAAGAGAAUUGCCAGUUGCUAAGGAUGGAUUAACUGGUGGCAACAUCGCAGCUCAAACAUUUACUUUCCGUGAGCUUGCAGCUGCAACAAAGAAUUUUAGGCCAGAGUCUUUCUUAGGAGAAGGGGGGUUUGGACGUGUAUAUAAAGGGCUUCUUGAGAGCACUGGUCAGGUUGUUGCUG
rnacentral:misc_RNA from 1 species